AGUCUUUGGUACAUUUAUAUAUAUUGGAGAACUCUUCACUUCACAACGAUGGCCAUUUCAAAAUUGGGGUACAAGUUGAAUUCUAUAUGAAUGAAAACACAUUUAAAGAGAGACUAAAGUUAUUUUUUAUCAAAAACCAGAGAUCAAGUCUAAGAAUUCGUCUAUUCAAUUUUUCUCUCAAAUUAUUAAGCUGCUUAUUAUACAUAAUCCGAGUGCUACUAGAAAACCCUUCACAAGGAAAUGAAUGAAAGGGUUCCUUCCCUUUGUGGCACUGCAGUUUUUCUCUCAUCCAAUUCACUUCCACGCACCUGGCACCUGGCAUGCUGUCUCCCUCCAACUGUGACCAGUUGUGUCUCCAACUGUGACCAACUUCUCCCAGUUCCCAGAUGGAUUUCCUGGGUGUUCCAAGUGAUCUGACCUCAAUACAGCUGUGUUCAAGGGAGGAGGAAAGCCCAGGGUUCUCCUACUUCUCCACCA